UGCCUGGUCCUGCACGGCUAUAAGCAAAUCUCCAAGGGGCCGUGCGAUGUAACCUUAUCCCAUAUUCCUCCUGUCAGUCUCUGGCUACGACCCAUCCAUCAACCAGUGCAUAAUUACUCUGUACAGCUACCUCUCCGCCUGUCAGUGUAACUUUUGCAGGUUGUGUUCAAAAGAACGGCAAGCCUCGCACAUGUCUAUUCUCAGACUAUCUGCAGAAGUGAUUAGAGACGGAGACAAGCAGGCCAACCUCAUCAGUGACAGAAUAAGACCUCUGAGAGAGUUUGAGAUGUAUCAGCUCCAGGAUGGGGGCAACUGUGUUAAGAUUUUUUCCAUUUGUUUCCUCUACCUUUUCAACUAUGUUGUUGCUGUAUAAUCUUGUUAUUUUUGCAUAAGAUAUUCACAUUAUAUUAGAGGAAAAUCAUUUUCAGUGGCACAAAAAAAAAGUAAGCUAUCAACAGAAAGGUAGAGAGACACAGAGAGGAGGAACGAUGGAGCGAGAGAGGGAGGAAAAGACUGUUUUGGCUGAGCAGUUGUCUCACAUGAAGAGCGGCAUGCUGUGACCAUAUGCUAGUCCAGGUGGACUUGGUAUCCAGGCAACUGUAUCAAAGCAGUGGGGGCAUUUGCGAUUGAAUCCAGAGGACUUUUCAAACAGCGGAGUCAGAGAGAACAAUGCAGCUAUCAUCUGGCGGCAGGGGUGUGCCAACAGGGAAAUGAGCCCAAGGUCAGAAAGACACAUGGAAACCUUCCUGUGAGGAGGUGGUGGGUCUUAAGCUGUUUUGCAUCACAGAUAAUGAGAUGCUCCCCUGACCCCAGCAGUCGCUUCCAGUCUGAAACUGAUCGAUGAGAGCCCCCUUUGAACCUUAUCUGGUGUUGGGCUUUGCAUUAUGGCUCUACAUCUGGAAGAGAGAUCAGGGCUUUUGCAUGGAGUUUUGGAUGAGGACGUGACCAGACUCCAUUGCUUGGUGUGUUACUGCCAAGCCACCAAAGUUGCUCACUUCCUCCACAAGUUUCCAUCGGGGGAAAACAGCCUCUGAUGUCUGACAUGUCAUGGUUUGGUGAUGUAUGAGCUAUGAGACAGAGACUUUAAAUAGAAGAAUGCACUAUUUGUGUUUUUCUCUUUAUCUUGUAUUUGUCCCCAAACAUUAAAAUGAAUAGAUUUUUUAUUACAGCCAUUAAGUUGGAGAAGAUACCAUCAAAUUUUAUGUUGGUGUUGGGCAAACCUUUUUUUGGUAAAUCAAACAUAAAUUUUACCGAGUUAUGUCUGUUGAUGUCCUUCCUGUGUCGGGGGCCCUUUCUACAUUCCCAAGAAGAUUUCCCAAUGAUUUACAUCUGCUCUUAUUCAACAAUGUCAGUUUUUCAGAGCAAGGGUUUCGGUAAAAAAGACUAUUAGCAGGAUGUUAGUGGCAGCCUUUUUCUCUUAAGUCCCCUCAGUGCUACUACGAAAUGGUCCUCUGUACCAUCGAAGAGUCCCACGGGUAGGAUAAUGACAAUCGAUGCUCUUUUCAUCAGCACAGCCAUCAUGUACACCAGCUCUGGAGCCUCCACAGUAAUGUAAAAGUUAAUAUUUCUCUCCAACUGAAAUGGCCAACAAUCCUGAAGUUUAUUUCACCAGGCAUUUAUUGGCAGUGUCUAUUUCUCCACAAAUGAAAUAUGCAGAUGCAGGCAAAAUUGAUUGACAAUAUCAACAAUGUUGCUUUUUAUUCAGUUUUCAGCUUAGAAAAAAACUAUCUGUGUUCUAAAUAAAUAAACACAGUAAAAGACUACUCCUACACCAAAUAAUGAGAAUACAAAUAUAUUAAUUACACAUGUGCUGUAGGCCCAGCAGGGAGGCUCAGUGCUUCUGCCACAGCUCCCAUCUUUUUCAGUGACUCUGUUAAGCUCAGUGAGUUGAGGACCAUGACUAUCAGUAAUUAGGUUUCUUGGUUUAACAGCAUGUGUGAUCACCAGAUUCAUCCUGCAUCGAGUGCCCGCUGGCAAAACAAAAGGCUCCCUAGGCUGAAUUUUCCUAAGUUGUCUCGGUUCUGUUUCUGUAAUAAAACCUAAUUUGUUGUUGUGCCUUGUUAACGUCCAAAUAAAAGCCUGAAUAUUUUGUUCUUGGAAAAAUAAAGGUGCUCGUUGCACAGAGUACUAGAUCAGGGUAUGACUCAUAAAACAGAGUACUGCAUGUGAUUAGGGAUUUAUAUGUAAGCGUUAUGGUGUUAUUGCUGAUUAUGUGCAUUGUGUGUUUUGCUGAUAACACACUGAAUGUGCCAUUCAGUAUCUGUAUACGCACACCCGUGUGUGCGUGUGCCCUUGCAUGUACUUGCGCAAUUUAUAAAGUAUGUUUUUUUUCCAGAUUUUUUUUCCUUCCAAGCAAAGGACCUCACUGAACCAACCUUCAGCAACAAUGCAUGUUUUAAAACUCACUGUCUAACCACUGACAGACAACAUUCAGUUUCAAUUAGGGUUUCAUAUUAAGUCCCCAGCAGAAGGCCAAAUUGGAGCUGUUGUACAAGUGUGUCUUGGGAGUCUGUGUUCAAAUUCCAGUUUUGUUGUGUUGUUACAUCUAGUCGCAUAUCUUGUGAAAUUUAAGGACCAAACUAAUGGUUUGUAUGUGUUUGCCAAUUUACUUGAAAUUACACAUAUUUACACACAACUGCGAACAAUUUUUCAAAGCAUAUCUACUGCUGUAGCUCAACGUUGACAUAAAUAUGUUUAUUGUGAUGUAUUACCAAUGUAAAGGAGGUUUGAAAUGUUAACUUUUACAAGGCAUGGAAAUUCACAAAUCAAAGACACAAUUGUAUGCUUUGGAAAUCCAGCAGUGAUGAGUAAUGUAUGCAAUUUGUAGUAAAUGGGCUAAAACAUUCUGAAACACUGAUUAAGUCUUUUAAAGUAAUUUAUAAGAAAUGCACCUCACAAACCUU